UACGUAGGGUGCAAGCGUUAAUCGGAAUUACUGGGCGUAAAGCGUGCGCAGGCGGCUUUGCAAGACAGAUGUGAAAUCCCCGGGCUCAACCUGGGAAUGGCAUUGGAAACUGGCUCGCUGGAGUGUGGCAGAGGGGGGUGGAAUUCCGCGUGUAGCAGUGAAAUGCGUAGAGAUGCGGAGGAACACCGAUGGCGAAGGCAGCCCCCUGGGCUAACACUGACGCUCAGGCACGAAAGCGUGGGGAGCAAACAGG
rnacentral:rRNA from 1 species